AUUGAACGCUGGCGGCAUGCCUUACACAUGCAAGUCGAACGGUAACAGGUCUUCGGAUGCUGACGAGUGGCGAACGGGUGAGUAAUACAUCGGAACGUGCCUAGUAGUGGGGGAUAACUACUCGAAAGAGUGGCUAAUACCGCAUGAGAUCUACGGAUGAAAGCAGGGGAUCGCAAGACCUUGUGCUACUAGAGCGGCCGAUGGCAGAUUAGGUAGUUGGUGGGAUAAAAGCUUACCAAGCCGACGAUCUGUAGCUGGUCUGAGAGGACGAUGAGCCACACUGGGACUGAGACACGGCCCAGACUCCGACGGGAGGCAGAAGUGGGGAAUUUUGGACAAUGGGCGAAAGCCUGAUCCAGCAAUGCCGCGUGCAGGAUGAAGGCCUUCGGGUUGUAAACUGCUUUUGUACGGAACGAAAAGCCCCGGGUUAAUACCCUGGGGUCAUGACGGUACCGUAAGAAUAAGCACCGGCUAACUACGUGCCAGCCGCCGCCGUAA
rnacentral:rRNA from 1 species